GAUGAACGCUGGCGGCGUGCCUAAUACAUGCAAGUCGAGCGAACAGACGAGGAACUUGCUCCUCUUACGUUAGCGGCGGACGGGUGAGUAACACGUGGAUAACCUACCUAUAAGACUGGGAUAACUUCGGGAAACCGGAGCUAAUACCGGAUAAUAUAUUGAACCGCAUGGUUCAAUAGUUAAAGACGGUUUUGCUGUCACUUAUAGAUGGAUCCGCGCCGCAUUAGCUAGUUGGUAAGGUAACGGCUUACCAAGGCGACGAUGCGUAGCCGACCUGAGAGGGUGAUCGGCCACACUGGAACUGAGACACGGUCCAGACUCCUACGGGAGGCAGCAGUAGGGAAUCUUCCGCAAUGGGCGAAAGCCUGACGGAGCAACGCCGCGUGAGUGAUGAAGGUCUUCGGAUCGUAAAACUCUGUUAUUAGGGAAGAACAAAUGUGUAAGUAACUAUGCACGUCUUGACGGUACCUAAUCAGAAAGCCACGGCUAACUACGUG
rnacentral:rRNA from 1 species